AUCCAUCACCAAGACGCACGCAAAGCCUAGAUACCUUGAUGGAAGUGAGAUGAAAACAAGGCCUUCCAGCAUUCCCAAACAUCCUGCUCAAGUCAUGUCCAAUGGAUGCUCAUUCCUCCAAUAGGUGAUUCAUCUGCGUGUUGACAGACAAGACAAGCAGGAGAGAUGAAGACACCUGUGAAGGGAGGAGCUGCAGGAUUUCAUAGCAUGACUAUCUUUGCAGCAAGUUGGUGAUCAUCACUGCUAAGGAAAAGCACAGGAGCGAGUUCAGUCUCAAAAUAUUUUGCACCGGUUUGGAACGUUUUCGGACUGAACAACAUGUUUCCUUGCAACAUUCCGCAACAGGCUUCGAUGUAUGUUUUCUUCUGCUUUGUGGGUGUGUCACAGGUGUUACCCAAUCAGCUGCGACAAGUUUGUAAACACAACGGUGUUAAAAAGGCAGGGAAAUGCAGUGCACUGGCGUACACAACAGGGUAUUCGAGGCACUACCAUUUCCAUUGAAAAAAAACAUGUAGCUACAUUUUGUCAGCGCUGAACUCGCCCCUAGUGUAACUAAUAACAUUAAUGAUGGCUGCAUUCCAUUUAGCUGUGCCAGUAAGCCAUGCCAGUGAGCCAUAGUAUGCAUGGCAUCAGGACCCUGGAACUGGAAUGCAGCCAUUAUAAUUGUCAUUGGUAACACCUGUGUCCACCAUAAGAAACAUUUGUCAGCAGUACAUUUGUUGGACAGGUAAGCUAAUCUAGUUAACAUUAGCAAAAGUCAGUUUGUCAGAACCACAGCACAGUUGCAUUAAAAGCAUCCAGUAGUACACUGUAUACUGUAUCUUGUUUGCUAACUUUUAGCUAAGUUUACUUAUGUGGCUCCACAUCAGUCACUUUGUAUUUGGAAGAGAUGUGAAUUCUUGUCAGUGUAAAAAAGAUUAACCCCAAGUAUAUAUUGGAACUGUCCGCAUGGAGUCAUUUAAGAGGUCUUGAUUUUAAUGACUGUGAAUGUUUUGUAUUUAUAAAAGACUUUUUAUUGGGAUUAUGGUGUAGACAUGAACAUAUCGCUCCACGCAGGUACCAGUGGCGUCCACCAGUGGGCAGUAUAGUUUCUGCCACUAGGUUAAACUAACCCCUGCAAAGUGUAGAUAAACCCCGUACUUACCAGUUUACGGUUGUCGCAAACCCACAAAUGAAGGACGAGCAAGCAGACAAGGGCACACAGUAAAGACGCCAAACUCAGAUAAGUAAGAAAGGAAAUUGACAGGUUUCGGUUUGGGAAACGGAACGAGGUGUGUAUGUUUUCGGUGUUGCGGGAGUGAAAUGUUCAUGUUUAUUGUUGUAAGUAGUUUAGCUAUGUAUUGACGAAGAGCCAUUUAGCUUUGAUGUAUUAAUCCAGUGUGUGAUUUAAAGGUUAUUGUGUAUAUAUAGGUAUUGGUACAAAAUGACUGUUUAAUUUGUGUAUUUAAUUAGUUUUAUUGUUUUAGUAUGUUUGAUUUUAACUAAGGUAAUGUGUACAAAAGUACUUAUGUUUAUAUCUAUUUGUAUAUUUUUAUAGUUUUCACAGUGCAAUACGGUUACGGAGAAAGAAAUAAAGUAACCAUAAAGACAUCAGUCGAGACACCGAGGGCAGUUACAUAUAUAAUAAAAUAUUAUUAUGA